rnacentral:rRNA from 1 species
AGCAGCCGCGGUAAUUCCAGCUCCAAUAGCGUAUAUUAAAGUUGUUGCAGUUAAAAAGCUCGUAGUUGAAUUUCGGGAUCAGUACGCUGGUCGUGCCUUCGGUAUGUACUGGUGUUACUGGUUCCUACCUUCUGACGAACCAUCAUGUCAUUAAUUUGGUGUGGCGGGAAAUCAGGACUGUUACUUUGAAAAAAUUAGAGUGUUUAAAGCAGACUCGCGCUUGAAUACAUUAGCAUGGAAUAAUGAAAUAGGACGUUCGAUCCUAUUUUGUUGGUUUCUAGGAUUGACGUAAUGAUUAAUAGGGAUAGUUGGGGGCAUUAGUAUUCAAUUGUCAGAGGUGAAAUUCUUGGAUUUAUUGAAGACUAACUACUGCGAAAGCAUUUGCCAAGGAUGUUUUCAUUAAUCAAGAACGAAAGUUAGGGGAUCGAAGACGAUCAGAUACCGUCGUAG